rnacentral:rRNA from 1 species
GWNCCGCGGCGUAUUAACUAGUUGGUGGGGUAACGGCCUACCAAGGUGAUGAUACGUAGCCGAACUGAGAGGUUGAUCGGCCACAUUGGGACUGAGACACGGCCCAAACUCCUACGGGAGGCAGCAGUAGGGANAUCUUCNCACAAUGGA